GAGAGAGAGCAGAAAGGCUGCACAGAUAGCGCUGCAGAAUGCGGUGUCCAGCAGACCGCUUUGUCUCCUGACCUGGGGGUGCAUGUGUCAGGGAUGCUUAUCUCGAAACAUCGGCUUUGUUGUCAUACGACUGGGAACAUUUCGUCUUACAUGUGUCUUACCCAUGCCCCGGCCAGACGGAGCGCAGCGUCCCAUCCGUCAGGGCCGACAGUAUCAAUCGCACACCUGCAGCAGGAGGGCUUUCUGCACGCAGGCUAAGCAAACAGGAAAUCACCAGGAACAAAUAUUCCUGCGCACACCUGUGCCAGAAACACAACUCCGGUUUCCUGUGUCAGUGGCCAAACACCUUUGACGGGACUGGGCGCAGCAGGUUGGCGGGGGUGUCUGAGGCCUCUCGCCGCGGCCGCCGCGCCCUUGACGGACGAGCGGUUCGAUGAGACGGUAAAAUACGGCGAGGGGCGCUGCCGGUGCCGCCAGCCUCCUCUGACGCCUGUUUCAGCCCGAGCUGCAGCCUGGAAACACACUCUUCUGUUCUCCCAGACACCAGCAACUGCAGCACUGUGGGCUAGCUGUGCGUAACUGUGUCCCGUCACAAAGCUCCAGAAUGCAGAGAAGGUUCCAUUACCUAACUGUUACCGACCGGGAGGCAGCUCCGGUUUUGGAGAUUUCAUGCAGCUGACAAUUUCUGGUUCUCAGAACAUUCCCAGAAUGUUGGAAAAGUUAGAGCAAACAUUUGUCCACAUUUGUGUAAGCCCGGAGGUGCCAAGGGGCUGAUGUAGUUCUGUAUAGCCCUGACACAUGUACUCCUUAUGACAUUAUGGCUUCCACCUGCUCCCCAGUAUAGAGCUAUGCCAAAGAGCUCAAGGGCAGAGUGUUCAUAGAGUGGAGCUGCACCAGAGAGCUCAGAGACAGAGAGUUUCUGUUGUGUGGUGCUGCACCAGACAGCUCAGGGGCAGACAGUUUCCUUAGUGUGGAGCUGCACCAGACGGCUCAGAGACUGACAGUUCCCACUGUGGAGCUGCACCAUAGAGCUCAGGAGCAGACUGUUUCCAUAGUUUGGAGUUGCACCAGCAAGCUCAGAAACCAAAAGAGUCCCCAUUGUGGAUCUGUGCAAGAUAAUUCAGAGACUAGGACAGUUCACAGGGUGGAGCUGCACUGGAGAGCUCAUAUGCAUGGAGAAUCCACAGCAAAGAGCUACACCAGAGAGUUCACAUACAGCAUAGAGCUCCAAGGUGGAGAACGCCAACAGCAAGGGCUAAAUGCAAGCCACCGCAGCCAUACUCCUGGCCCUAUGUCCAAUGAGAA